UACAGAGGUCUCAAGCGUUGUUCGGAUUCAUUGGGCGUAAAGGGUGCGUAGGCGGCGCGGCAAGUCGGGUGUGAAAUCUCGGAGCUUAACUCCGAAACUGCAUUCGAUACUGCCGUACUUGAGGACUGGAGAGGAGACUGGAAUUUACGGUGUAGCGGUGAAAUGCGUAGAUAUCGUAAGGAAGACCAGUGGCGAAGGCGGGUCUCUGGACAGUUCCUGACGCUGAGGCACGAAGGUCAGGGGAGCAAACGGG
rnacentral:rRNA from 1 species